GUAAACAAAGUAGAUUAGCCAGAAUGCUGAGUUGCUGAGGUCUGUUACACAAGCUGCGAAGACUCUGCGGAUCCCUAAGUGUGCCGGUCUCUUGGCAUCGGUCGCUGUGAUGCUCCGGCUGAAGAAAGCUUCUGAAGCUCCUGAACGAUUGACCAGGAGGGAGAGAACAUCCCAGUUGGGCAUGUGUCUCUGCCAGGGUCCUACUCGAGUGUAGGAUGAGCUCCUGACAAUCAGAUCCCUCCCCUGUGGCAAUAAAUAGGCAGAUCAAAUGAAAGGAAUGUAUUUACCAGUUAGUUUCUUUAAUAAUCACAGUGAGAGACAAAGGAAUGCAUCUCUCUCUAAAAAUGGUGUUGCUCCCAGUAAAUGUCAUCCCCUCCAUCUCCAUUAAUCUACGUCACUCCUACUUUGGAUAAUCUGAGCUUGCUGCCACUGAGCUCUCUUUUCUCUUGCUCUCAAAAUCCACCUAGUCAGGCGAAGUGGGGGGGUGAGGAAUGCUUUCCGAGGACAUUGGAUCUGCCAGCUGUCUCUCUCUCUCUCCUGCUGUUCCCUCUUCUAGCUGUUCCUCACCCAGUAUUUCCCAGCUUUCCCCCUCUGGACUAUGUCCUUCGGCAAACCACUGUUCUAAAUCCAUACUGUCCUCCUGCCCUUGGGAAGGUUCAGGAGAAGUCCAGCCCCUGACAUCGGGACCCUGAGAACAUAUCAGUUGCCUAAGCAUCCUCACAUGGUGACACCAGCCUGAGUAGUAGUCAAAACAUUUCGUCAAGAGUUAUUAUAGAAAUGAUCUCAUAGAGGAAACGGAUGUUGUGUGAAUGCUGUCUGACUGCAAAGCCAUUUAAUCCACCUGCCUAAAUACUGAAGACCGCACUGAAAGUAUAAGGAAAAUAAAUUGAUAGAAAGUAAUGACUCUGAGGACGCAAGUAGUCAAGAGAAUUGAUUCAGCCAUCCUUACAAACUGAGGAAAAAAACCCUCAACAUUUAUUUUAUGUCAUUUGUGCACUCAUUUUUUAUUUAGGAGCACUGCUGCAGAUUUGACAUCGGGGGAUUCUUCAUCCUGAAGUCAUACUAUGAUGUUCCCCAGGUGAAAAAUGUCUAUUAUAAACAUACCAUUUGAUGUAUUUUACCUCUUGGUGGCGAUGGUGGGGACUUAUUUCAUCCAAUUAAAGAGGUCAGAUUUCAUCACAUGAAUCAAGCGGAUAACAAAUCCUAAACUGAAGACUUUAUGUGCAGAAACAAAUCCACCGUGCCUUUCUUUAAAUAAUAAUUGCAAUGACUAAAAAUAGUUGGAAAAGUAACUAAAUAUUGUAGGAGGGAAUGCUUCGUGGCUUCUUCAAGGAUAUUUGCUCAAAGAAUAAUUUUGAAACUAUUUUGAAGAACAGGAAGACUGUAUUCAUAUAUUGCAGAGUUAUUAAUGGAAUGUUCAUUAAGGACGGGCCGCUGUAAAUGUCUGGAUGUUCACCCCUACAGAACGUUUAAUUCCAAAUAUGCUGGAAGCAACAAGUAGGGGUUAUUCCAUUGAUGCGCUCUUCCACUGAGCAUCCCAGCCUCUAGUCAUUGUUGAGUGAGGCUGGGUCAAUAAUUAAUUUAUUUAGGGUUUUUUUCAAAAAAACAAAACAAAACAUUGUUAUACCACGUGUUGGUCCUAAGAAGGGCCAUUAAUGUAGAAUUGUUGUUGUUGUUGUUAUCAAGGUGGUCUCAGCAGGGUGGUCCAUAGUGACCAUAGGCCAAGCAAUCCUACCACGUUGGGCAGAGGGAGCAAGUGGGGUGGAUGCAGCCCCAACAGACUCACACUGGUAGAGCAGAAAGUGGGCCAAGGACACACACUCUCUCUCUCCCUCUCUCUCAGGGUAGGGGGUGCCUUUUCUUCUUCUUCAGGAAAUGAGAUAUUUCAUUCUCAUUGGUCCCAGUUGGAAGGGAAAUCAGUAUGCCAGCCCUAUGCAUUGGUGGGGUGGGGGGAUAGAAUGUCAAGGAGGACUGCCUGCUGAGGGCCUGAAGGGCCCUUCCCUUGCCUCUCUCCACCUGGCUUGGGGCGGGGCUUGAUAGGCUUCACAAGGACUGCGGCUGCUGCUCAGUAGAGAGGGCUCCUCUUUAAAAUUGUUUCUAGUUUUUAUCUGUGUUGUUUUAAAUGAAACCGUCUUGGCUUUGAGCCCUGGAAGACCUGCACCCUGCCUUGCUGGCCCUUUCCCAUCUGGCCUGGGAGAGUGGAGUGCUGACUGACUCCAGCUACAAAAGCUGAGGCUGUUGAACAGAUUCUUGGGCUGGAGUAUUGUUUGUGGGGUUUGAGAGAGAUUGUUGCUGCUAUUGAUAUUAUUGUUGUAUCUUUAGUUUUACAUCUUAUGAUUUACGUGGAAAUUAUUUCCAUUUGGUUGUGUAGGUUUUGAUGUGUUUUAUUUAUUGUUUACGACUUCUGCUAUGUUUGUAAUUAUGUAAUUUUUGUCAUGUUGUAAGCCACCUUGAACAUAGUUUCAACUAUGGAAAGGCGGCAUACAAAUAAAAUGAUGAUGAUGAUGACAAUGACAUAAGGGCUUUUGAACCAGUAGAUCCUAAGCCUCUGUCUCAGCAUAUGCCUUUUUGGCCAAUAAAAACCAUAAGUAGCAAAGUUUUUUAAAAGCCUGGUGGAAUACUAUACAUUAUAUAUUUGACAUGGUAUGCCUGCUCUAAGGGCAGUCUUGUUUGGAUUUCUGCAUUGAAAGUAGUGCUUUUGAAGAGGUACACACACACACACACACACACACACACACAUAACCAAACCCCUUAAUAUGUUCAUUAUUGUAUUAGUAAAUUAUUUAUUGACUAUUCUUCAGCCGAUGCUUUCAGAAUUGUUUAAAAAUUAAAACAAUAAAAAUAAUUGGAAUAAAGUACACUAAAAAUAAAGUGCACACCACAGCAGAGCAAAAUGAAACACUUGCAUAAAAAACAACAGCUUAAUAACCAAAAACGUCUGGAUAAAAUGAAUAGGUUUCUCCCUGACACCAUAAAGAAAACAGACAUGGCAACAUGCAAGGUGCUCUGGGGAUGUCAUUAAAAAAUUGUGGAGAAACAAUUGACAAGGCCGUGUCUCAUCACUUGCUUUAUGUCAGGCGGAGGCAGAACCAAGAAAAGGAUUUCAGAUACCAGUAUCAAUAACAGCUGGGUAGAUUCAUGCAGGAUAAAGAGGUGAGAAUGUUAACUGUGGCCCCAUUUGCACUAUGCAUUUAAAGCAUUUGAUUUUGAGUGAGAACCAAACUCCAAAAGGGAGCUGGUGUCCCACAUUUUAUCAUGUGCAGUAGAGCUUGGUCCAAUGAAAUGGCAAUUUCUGGGUCACCUCUGCCAGCCAUACAGCAAAACCAAGCAUGGGUGGCAGAUUUGCAAAACCACUAACACAAAUGCAACCCAAUUCUAGGAUCCGAAUAUUUAUGUUCCAUUAUUCCUAGAGCCUGGAGAAGAAACAGAAAAGGUAAUCAAUUGCUUAGAUGAUCCCAAGGUAAAACAAGUUUAGUGUCUCCUCUUGUUUUCAGCUGUGGUAAUUUUGAGGCAUAUUUUUUUAAUGAUUUCUAUUUGGCAUUUUAAAACCAGCAGUGUUAUUGCUGUUGCCAUUAAAAUUUGAGAGAAAUGUUGGCCUAGGAAAUUUUUUAUUUAUUUUUAUUUUAGCAGCAGACUCCCGUCUCAGACUUGAUGUAAUUGUAUUUUAGUUUAGGAUGUGCUAAUGCAUGGAGGUUAUGAAUGUUUUAUGACAUUUUCGCUUCUGAAUGCAGAUGAAGCCUUUUAAGCUGCCGUGGCUUUAAUGAAGUUCUAAAUUUCUCCCUUGAGAUAUGAAGGAGCGUAGAGGGUUCUACCUCAUAAAAUUGACCAAGAUCUCGAUGUGAUUAUGGUGUUUAUUAAUUUGACAGACCCUUACAGGAGAACAACAACAUAUAACUGUAGGUGAAAAGUUCUUCUUGGAGGGUAUAAAACAUCAUUUUUGGAAGCAACAAAUCUAUUAGCUAUAGUCAAACAUUACGAACGGGGUGCUUUAAAUUUGUCCAGUUCAGCAAUUAUACAGGCUAGGAUUAUAGCCUUCAGAACGAUACUGUGCUGCUUUAAAGGGCUGCUGGCUGCUAAGGAUAAGUUACUGCAGCAUAAAGCUGUAGUAGUUUCUUAGUUAUGAAGGAAUAAAAAUAUACUGUAAUCUGGAAAGAGUAAAGAACUAAAGUCUAUCUCUACUGCCAUUUUUGGUUUUGUUUUUUUAAAAAAAUAAUAUUUAUUAGUAGUUUCAGAAUU